rnacentral:misc_RNA from 1 species
AAUGUUACUGCUGAAAACCUCAGGAAUGUGUCAGAUUAUCUCGCUGCAGCUAAGAGUAUUUCUGUGGACAACGUGCUUCUGCCAGGCAAUGUCCGAAACAGCAUUGGUGACAUUGAAACAAAGAUCAACUCCUCUAGCAGUACUCUUUCCAGUCGUACACAAAAAAUUCUAAGGAUAUACAAGAUGGUUUAGAUAGCAUGAGACUGGCUCUUAUUAUCCUUGCUGCUGUAAUGCUUACUUUGGCAUUUCUUGGAUUUUUAUUCUCCAUUGUCGGAAUGCAGUGUCUUGUAUACUUCCUGGUGAUUGUUGGGUGGAUUCUUGUCGCGGGCACAUUUAUUUUGUGUGGAGUGUUUCUUCUUGUCCACAAUGUGGUUGCAGAUACAUGUGUUGCAAUGGAUGAGUGGGUCCUGAACCCCACUGCUAAAACAGCAAUGGAUGAUAUAAUUCCUUGUGUGGACAAUGCAACUGCUCAGGCAACCUUGCAACGGCAAACCAAGGAAGUCACUUACCAACUUGUCAAUGUGGUUGAUGGCAUCAUCAAAAAUGUCUCCAACAGAAAUUUCCCACCACUGGUACCUUUGUAUUACAACCAAUCUGGUCCAUUGAUGCCU